UUCUUCUUCCUUCAGUCUUCUUUUUUUUUCCGGAAUUCUUUCUUCCUCCGUCUUCUAUCUUUUAAUCAAGGAAGAAGGCUUUUGUUCGAUCAACAUAAACCGAUUUCGCGUGCACCUGUUUCCUGCUUGGCUGUAGAACCUAUUGGGACAUCACCAUCUUGUUUUCCUUAACAAGGUUCCAUCACAAGACAAUGCGAACUAAAGGAAUUCGGGAGAUUACCAGUAAAGGUGUUGUAAGAAAUGUCUAGAGCUUUGAGUGAUUUGAGUGAACUUAGUUAAGGAGGAAGAUUACCAAAGAAUGAAUUGUGUCUAAGAACUACGGAUUCAAUAUUAACGAAAGAAGAAAUGGAAGAAGGAAUUGGUCCAUAAAAUGAAUUUUCAGCAAGACGAAUGUGUGUGAGUUGAGUAAGUGAUGAAAUGAGAGGAGAAAUAGUUCUUGAAUAACCAACAGGGUCAAGAACGAUUGAAGUGAUACGAGUUAAAUCAGAGCUACAAGUGAUUUCACAAAUGAAAUGUGUUCCGUGACACAGUGCGAUUGUUGUCCUAUAGGGGAUGGAGGUGUAAUUUACUAUUCAAAAUGGGUAUUCCAUUAUGUUUCAGUGGUGUGUACAGUUAGGAGCUUCUUUGGUGUUCUCAUAGUAAAAUUAAUCAAAAUGCACGAGACAGAUUUUAUCAUCAUUAAACAGAUUUAUUUAGCUACCACUUUCUGGAUUUUG